AGCGGUAAUAGUUUAAUGGUAAAACUUUUGAUUUGUAAUCAAACAUUGUGAGUUCAAGUCCCACUUAUCGCUA
rnacentral:tRNA from 2 species